CACAGUAAACGAUGAAUACUCGCUGUUUGCGAUACACGGUAAGCGGCCAAGCGAAAGCGUUAAGUAUUCCACCUGGGGAGUACGCCGGCAACGGUGAAACUCAAAGGAAUUGACGGGGGCCCGCACAAGCGGAGGAACAUGUGGUUUAAUUCGAUGAUACGCGAGGAACCUUACCCGGGCUUAAAUUGCGCUGGCUUUUACCGGAAACGGUAUUUUCUUCGGACCAGCGUGAAGGUGCUGCAUGGUUGUCGUCAGCUCGUGCCGUGAGGUGUCGGCUUAAGUGCCAUAACGAGCGCAACCCUUAUCUUUAGUUACUAACAGUUUUGCUGAGGACUCUAAAGAGACUGCCGUCGUAAGAUGCGAGGAAGGUGGGGAUGACGUCAAAUCAGCACGGCCCUUACGUCCGGGGCUACACACGUGUUACAAUGGGGAGCACAGCAGGUUGCUACACGGCGACGUGAUGCCAAUCCGUAAAACUCCUCUCAGUUCGGAUCGAAGUCUGCAACCCGACUUCGUGAAGCUGGAUUCGCUAGUAAUCGCGCAUCAGCCACGGCGCGGUGAAUAC
rnacentral:rRNA from 1 species